UUGACCGGUAAGUCCUUCAAUCGUUUUGAAUUCACACACAGAUGUUGUACCAUCUGAACAUCAAAAGUGGUAUCCUUCUCCAUUUGGUGUAAAUGUUGAUGAAUUCGGUGAUAUCUACGCGAGAGUGGUCUGGUUUUCAACCGACUCGAACUGUUUAUUUGUUUUUUGUACCUGAUGAAAAGAUUGGUGGUCAUGAUGGUGCAGAGAAGUGCGCCGAAUCGGAGAAAUUCAAGAAGAUGACUGUUGGAAUUAUCCUCUACAACAUUGGUCAAGAAAUCUUAAGAAGGGAUCCAAAUUACACAGCAAACUCACCUUCUCAAGCACACAUUACCGCACAACAAUUACUUGAGAAAAGUUUAAAACUGAAGGAAUUUGUUAAUGCUUAAAUGGGUAUGUCAUAUUUGACAUCUAAGUAACUGGAGGACCAUAGGUCUAUGGAGAGAUUUAUAGCUUAUGCGCUGUGUUCCGCGGAUGAAAGCUCUAAGAGAUGCUAACUGGCUGCCUACUGAACUCAGAGAAGAAAGAAAGGACGUAAAGUUUACUCGUUAUAGAUUGUUUUUUCUCUAUAUGAUUAUAGUGUUUGGAGAGUUGGGAAAUUUACUUGAUGAUUUUCUUACUUGAGUUUUUAUGACGAAGCAUGUCUUUCUUGUUUUUUUCUAGGGAGUUUCUAUUGUAGCAGGCACUGGAUGCAUAAGUGACAUUUUGUAUGCAGCAAAAAUGAUCUGUGAGAAGCGACUGCGCCAGCUUAGUCCAUUUUUUAUCCCUCAGAUAUCGAUAAACAUCGCAGCAGGUCAUGUUAGCAUGAGAUAUGGAUGCAAGGUGCUUGGAUUAAAUCUGCCAAUUCCCGUUCUUUAUGGGUACGAAGUAGCCUGGUGUACAAUCUAGUGCACUAGCCUAUUUCCUACAAGAAGUAGCCUAUUUAUGGGCCCGAAUACUUGAUUUCAUGCAUAUUUUUUAGGUGUGUACAUGCUUGUGCACCGAUUUAUUUUCCAUGAAAAAAGUAGUUCCGAAAGAAUGACUUCAUGCAUGUUUUAUAGGUGUGUACAAAUUAGUACACAUGUGAAAAUAAUGACUAUAUAAGCUUAUGCCUGCAUAAAUAACUAGGGUGUACAAAUUAGUACACAUGUGAAGUUUGUGACUCCAUAAGCUUUUAUAUGCAAGGCUAGAGUGUACAAACUAGUAUACAUGCGAAAAUAAUGACUCCUUAAGCUUAUGCUUGCAUAAAAA